UACGUAGGCUGCGAGCGUUGUUCGGAAUUACUGGGCGUAAAGAGCGUGUAGGCGGUCCGGUAAGUCCGCUGUGAAAGUCGGGGGCUCAACCCUCGAAUGCCGGUGGAUACUGUCGGGCUAGAGUGCGGAAGAGGCGAGUGGAAUUCCUGGUGUAGCGGUGAAAUGCGCAGAUAUCAGGAGGAACACCUAUUGCGAAGGCAGCUCGCUGGGACGUAACUGACGCUGAGACGCGAAAGCGUGGGGAGCAAACAGG
rnacentral:rRNA from 1 species